rnacentral:tRNA from 1 species
GGCUUUGUAGCUUAGUGGUUAGAGCACCGCCAACCCAGAGGUCAAAGGUUCGAAUCCUUUCUUCUCCA